CACACAGAGACAGAGAGAGAGCAAGAAGCAGCCACCUAAUGCCGUCGGGGUUGAAGAUGUUGAAGAACAUGAGAAGCGUCUAUGUAGCGCUGCUCCUUACUCUGACCUCGCUGCACGCUGCACGGAGAAGUCUGAACUCCAUCAAUGACCUGAUCACCUGCCUCCAGUCUGAGCAGACAAACAUUUUAGAGCUGCUCCACUGGUUUGCUUGUGAAGUUGAAAUUGAUCGCAAUAAUGUCAUCCGACUGACCUUUGAUCCAAGCUCUGGUGAUUAUGGCUCCCAUCGCUACAGGAAUCUGGAGGGAUUGCUUGAAUCUCUCCCUUGGUGCUACCAGUACUACACGAUUGGCAAUAUUCAUCAACCCACAUCAGCAACACUUCCAUCAUAUGUAGUAAAUUCCCCGAGGAGGAAUAUUUUGUGGAACAGCGCUCGAAUCCUAAUUGGAGUGAAUGAAGGGGGGGCUGAAGCUGGAGAGAUAAUAGACCAAGUCUACAUCACUCAGCAUUAUGACGCAUCUGAAAACCAGGGGUCAAGCUAUGAUCCAGAACACACAUACAGGAUCACCACCAACUUUUUGAGGCAACUUAAGAAGUUAUCAAUUAAUGAAAUUCAGCAUCUUGCUCAAAGUUCCCAAACUGGAUCCUUGACAAACACCUCAGCGGCUCACUCUCAGAAAGUUCACUACCCUGAACAAGACACCCACAUAGAUAUGAGGAUAGUUGAUUCCUCAACUGGCCCAGAUGACUGUAUAGAAAAAUGUAUGUCCAUCUUUUGUUGCGUUUUAUUUCUUUUAAUUAUUUUGGUUGUCUUUGGGUCUUACUUUGUUAAUUCCUGGAAAUAAUGUGGAAAAAAGUGGAAAUGAGGAACCUGUCACAAUAUUUCAAACAAUACAAAUAAGUGGUGCUUUUCAACGAUAAUAGUGACAAAGGUUGUUUUUUAAUCCCAUUUUUUGACAUUUGAUAAUACAUAUUUGACAUUUAAAAACAAAUGUGAGUCAAUUGUACAAAAUGGAUUUUACUGUACACAUGAAAGCACAUCUCUGCCUUACAUCAUGCAAUAAUGUGUAUUCAGACAAUACAGACAGUGGUGUAUUAUCAUUGGUUUAACAAAGACAGGAUAUUUAAAUUUAAAUCAGCAAUAUAUGUCUUUGACAUUCAUCAUUUAUCCUUUUGUAGUACUGAAAUUAAAUUAAUAUUUUAUACUUCAUUAGUUGAGUAGGUAUUUUUAUGAAGCCCAAUGUCAAUUAAAUUAAGACACACUAUGGUGAGAAACCUAAUGUCUGUGUUAGCAUUGCAUGCUUUGCAUAAAAAACACCUUGAACCUACACAUAAAUGAUAAUAUUCCAGUCA